GCUAGUCGAAGGAAAAUUUAUAGGACAUUCUAAUUGGACAUAUCCAAUGCCAGUCCAUUGGUUUAUUAUUGGACAUUUGUUUGAGAUAUGUCCAACGAUGGUCGAACGUUUAAUCUUACGAUUUAUCUUAGCACAUCUAAUUCAAACGUCCUAUGCUAGUCCAAAGGAAUUUCAGAGGAAAGUUUACGUUAGACGUAUCCAAUGCCAGUCCAUUAGUUCAUCAUUGAACAUUCGAUUGGGAUAUAUCCCACGAUUGUAUAAUAUCUUGUACUACGAUAUCUCUUAAGACGUCUAAUUCAGACGUCCAAAGCUAAUCCAAAGGAAUAUCAUAGGACGUUAAAAUUUCAUAUAUCUAAUGCUAGUCCAACUAUUUUCAUUGGACUUUCGACAUAUGCUUCCAUCGAUAUGUCUUACGUUUGUUCAAAUGUCUUUGUUCUGUGAAGAGUGCGUGUGUAGCAGCGUUGGAAAAUGGAAAAAUGGGAAAAAUAUCCGGAAAAAUAGCAAAGUAAGUACAUUAUACACUAAUUAGGAUAUAGUUAAACGAUGUGUAUAAGAAAUUAAGUUGCAAUUUAUAUAAUUGUACGCGAAAAUAGAAAUUUUCUUUUUUACAGGUUACGUGUUUCGACAAGUCCAGGUGAGAGAUUUUUUUCGAAUAAAAGCAGGUAAAAAGAGAAGUAUUUUAAUUAAAGAGCGCUCUUCUGUAAAUAGUAGUAGUAGUAGUAGUAAUAGCAGUAGUAGUAGCAGUAGUAUGUAGUAGAAGUAGUCGGGGUAGUAGUAGUAAAUAUUAUGUAUGUAAUAUUUGACAAAUUUUUCUAUUAUUCCAUUAUUAUUCAUUGAUUUGUCUUUUCAUGCUACAUGUUCCCGGACAACUUCUAUUCUCCGGACUCUCCCAGGCUCCCCAAAAAGAGUGUCCAUGGACAACCCAAUGGAUUGUCAAUGGAUUCGUCCCAUGUGUCCCAUGGACUUUUCUUGUUUUUUUCUUAUAUUCUGUAAUAUUCUUACAGCUACAUGUUCCCGGCGUUCCCGGACAACUAUCUUACGGAUACUCCCACGUUACAAAAGCUCGCCAAAGAGAACUAUCAGCAUUUAUGACGAAGGGAAUGGAGAAAAGAAAAGACCGUGCCUUGGAAAACAGAAGUAGGAGAGCAUCCCGUGUCUUGGAAAACAGAAAUUGCAGAGCAUCCCGUGUCUUGGAAUACAGGAGUUGCAGAACAUCUCAAAGACCCAGGACGUCAGAGUUCAACCGCCGAAGGACAAAGUAUCAUACAUGUAAGAUUUAUAUAUAUAAUUUUUAAAUAAAAAAAUAAAAAAUUAA